GUGGGGAAUUUUGGACAAUGGGCGAAAGCCUGAUCCAGCCAUGCCGCGUGCAGGAUGAAGGCCUUCGGGUUGUAAACUGCUUUUGUACGGAACGAAAAGACUCCUUCUAAUAAAGGGGGUCCAUGACGGUACCGUAAGAAUAAGCACCGGCUAACUACGUGCCAGCAGCCGUGGUAAUACGUAGGGUGCAAGCGUUAAUCGGAAUUACUGGGCGUAAAGCGUGCGCAGGCGGUUAUAUAAGACAGAUGUGAAAUCCCCUGGCUCAACCUGGGAACUGCAUUUGUGACUGUAUAGCUAGAGUACGGUAGAGGGGGAUGGGAUUCCGCGUGUAGCAGUGAAAUGCGUAGAUAUGCGGAGGAACACCGAUGGCGAAGGCAAUCCCCUGGACCUGUACUGACGCUCAUGCACGAAAGCGUGGGGAGCAAACAGGAUUAGAUACCCCGGUAGUCC
rnacentral:rRNA from 1 species